GCGAUUAUGGUGAAGUGGGUUAACACACCUGAUUGUGGUCCAGGCAUCCGAGGGUUCGAAUCCCUCUAGUCGCC